rnacentral:pre_miRNA from 1 species
GGGGGGAGGCCGGAUCCUGGGCUGUGUCCCGGCCCCCGUGCUCCCGGUCUGCGCUGUUGGAUUCGCAUUCCGGGCGGCACAGCCCCCU